GUAGGGAAUCUUCGGCAAUGGACGGAAGUCUGACCGAGCAACGCCGCGUGAGUGAAGAAGGUUUUCGGAUCGUAAAGCUCUGUUGUAAGAGAAGAACGAGUGUGAGAGUGGAAAGUUCACACUGUGACGGUAACUUACCAGAAAGGGACGGCUAACUACGUGCCAGCAGCCGCGGUAAUACGUAGGUCCCGAGCGUUAUCCGGAUUUAUUGGGCGUAAAGCGAGCGCAGGCGGUUAGAUAAGUCUGAAGUUAAAGGCUGUGGCUUAACCAUAGUACGCUUUGGAAACUGUUUAACUUGAGUGCAGAAGGGGAGAGUGGAAUUCCAUGUGUAGCGGUGAAAUGCGUAGAUAUAUGGAGGAACACCGGUGGCGAAAGCGGCUCUCUGGUCUGUAACUGACGCUGAGGCUCGAAAGCGUGGGGAGCAAACAGGAUUAGAUACCCUGGUAGUCCACGCCGUAAACGAUGAGUGCUAGGUGUUGGGUCCUUUCCGGGACUCAGUGCCGCAGCUAACGCAUUAAGCACUCCGCCUGGGGAGUACGACCGCAAGGUUG
rnacentral:rRNA from 1 species